GAUGAACGCUGGCGGCGCGCUUAGCACAUGCAAGUCGAACGAAGCACUUUGGACAGAUUCUUCGGAUGAAGUCCUUGGUGACUGAGUGGCGGACGGGUGAGUAACGCGUGGGUAACCUGCCUCAUACAGGGGGAUAACAGUUAGAAAUGGCUGCUAAUACCGCAUAAGCGCACGGUACUGCAUGGUACAGUGUGAAAAACUCCGGUGGUAUGAGAUGGACCCGCGUUGGAUUAGCUAGUUGGCAGGGUAACGGCCUACCAAGGCGACGAUCCAUAGCCGGCCUGAGAGGGUGGACGGCCACAUUGGGACUGAGACACGGCCCAGACUCCUACGGGAGGCAGCAGUGGGGAAUAUUGCACAAUGGGGGAAACCCUGAUGCAGCGACACCGCGUGAGCGAAGAAGUAUUUCGGUAUGUAAAGCUCUAUCAGCAGGGAAGAAAA
rnacentral:rRNA from 1 species